rnacentral:rRNA from 1 species
AUUGAACGCUGGCGGCAGGCCUAACACAUGCAAGUCGAACGAGUGGCGGACGGGUGAGUAAUGUAUGGGAACCUGCCCGAUGGCGGGGGAUAACUACUGGAAACGGUAGCUAAUACCGCAUACCAUCGGAUGUACCCAGAUUGGAUUAGCUAGUAGGUGGGGUAACGGCUCACCUAGGCGACGAUCCCUAGCUGGUCUGAGAGGAUGACCGGCCACACUGGAACUGAGACACGGUCCAGACUCCUACGGGAGGCAGCAGUGGGGAAUAUUGCACAAUGGGCGCAAGCCUGAUGCAGCCAUGCCGCGUGUAUGAAGAAGGCCUUCGGGUUGUAAAGUACUUUCAGCGAGGAGGCGUUACCCGCAGAAGAAGCACCGGCUAACGCCGUGCCAGCAGCCGCGGUAAUUC